CAGCGCUCUCGACUUCUCGCGAAAAAUCCGGUCUCAACUAAAGCUGCUGAUGUCAAAAAUAUUCAAGUCGGAAUCAGUGCUCAGCGCGAUAGGGACCAUUCCUUAUUUCUGUCUUCUCCUGCUUUGCCUUCCAGGCGUGCAGUCCAAUAUUCUGCUGAAACAACCGGAGUCAGCUGUGGUAAAGCUUCGACAAUCCCACAAAUUGACCUGUGCAGUCAGUGGGAUCAGCCUCAGCAACUAUAACAUGCACUGGGUGAAACAGGUCUCCGGGAAAGGGCUGGAAUGGCUGGCCGCUGUAUGGGCUAACGGUGACAAGAAAUACGCGCCUGGAGUCGAAGGCCGAUUCGAUGUUGCCAAGGACAGCAGCAACGUUUAUCUGCAAAUGAACAACCUGAGACUGGACGAUGCGGCCACCUAUUACUGUGCGGGAGACACAGUGAGAGAAAUCGGGAGCCAACCGGGACAAAAACCUGGCGACAGCGCCGAACAGUAA